rnacentral:rRNA from 1 species
AGUGAACGCUGGCGGUAGGCCUAACACAUGCAAGUCGAACGGCAGCACAGUAAGAGCUUGCUCUUACGGGUGGCGAGUGGCGGACGGGUGAGGAAUACAUCGGAAUCUACUUUUUCGUGGGGGAUAACGUAGGGAAACUUACGCUAAUACCGCAUACGACCUACGGGUGAAAGCAGGGGAUCUUCUGACCUUGCGCGAUUGAAUGAGCCGAUGUCGGAUUAGCUAGUUGGCGGGGUAAAGGCCCACCAAGGCGACGGUCCGUAGCUGGUCUGAGAGGAUGAUCGGCCACACUGGAACUGAGACACGGACCAGACUCCUACGGGAGGCAGCAGUGGGGAAUAUUGGGCAAUGGGCGCAAGCCUGAUCCAGCCAUACCGCGUGGGUGAAGAAGGCCUUCGGGUUGUAAAGCCCUUUUGUUGGGAAAGAAAAGCAGCAGGUUAAUACCCCGCUGUUCUGACGGUACCGAAAGAAUAAGCACCGGCUAACUUCGUG